GCCACUCCAGGACCUUAAUGUGCUUCUUCUUGAGCCACUCCUUUGUUGCCUUGGCCGUGUGUUUUGGGUCAUUGGCCAUUUACCCAUACACAAUCCAUGUAUCAAGGCUUGAAAAUCCUUCUUUAACUUGUCUCCUCACUUUCAUCUACACUGAUUUGAAGUGGAUUUAACAGGUGAAACAUCAAUAAGGGAUCAUAGCGCUCACCUGGAUUCACCUGGUCAGUCUGUCAUGGAAAUAAUCUAAUCCUAAUGUCUUGUCAGCUCAGUGAGCACAUGUGUGCUGAGGUGCAGAGAAUCAGAGCAGGAGGUCAGUCCUGUUAGAAUCAGAGCAGGAGGUCAGUCCUGUUAGGGAUAGAAUCAGAGCAGGAGGUCAGUCCUGUUAGAAUCAGAGCAGGUGGUCAGUCCUGUUAGAAUCAGAGCAGGAGGUCAGUCCUGUUAGGGUUAGAAUCAGAGCAGGUGGUCAGUCCUGUUGGAAUCAGAGCAGGAG
rnacentral:lncRNA from 1 species